rnacentral:lncRNA from 1 species
AGCUACACUCCCGAGGGCUCCCACGUGUCAGGCGUGCGCAGAGGGCAGGCGCGGGGUGCAGGGGGAAUCCAGUACCGAUCCUUACAAGCGGAGCGCUGGUAAAGGGUGCGUUUAGCUCGCUUGUUUCUUCCCUCCCCAACACCCCCCCCCACCCCGCCCGCCAGCUUCCUGGUCCAAGUUUUACUUGUCCAGUCUAACCCUACCGAGCACACCAAGCACAGAGUCUACAGAGUUCGCAGGCACCUGGAGGGGAGAGCUGUGAUGCGUUCUAAAAAACGAUCGCGUGCCAAUUAUUCCGGGGUCAGCACUCGGGCAACUGUCAGCUCAGAGUUACUCCCAAAGUGGACAGGUGGGCGUGGGGGAGGGUGGACAAGUGUAAACAUUUCUUUUUUUAAAAUAAGAGAGAUGCCACCUGCCUCUCAGCUCAUACGAGUGGGCUGGAGGACACAGGAGUUCUGGGAGGUCGCCAGGCGGAGGUGCGCGGGUGGCACCUGGGCUUACCUUGCAGGGAAACAGGACUGCCGAGGCCACCUUCUCCAUAGCCAGGUUCCUGAUGCUGGGCGUCAGGGCGCCCCUGCACGUCGGGCAGCAGCUCAACUUCUGGCGG